GAGUUUGAUCAUGGCUCAGAUUGAACGCUGGCGGCAUGCCUUACACAUGCAAGUCGAACGGCAGCACGGGGGCAACCCUGGUGGCGAGUGGCGAACGGGUGAGUAAUACAUCGGAACGUGUCCUGUAGUGGGGGAUAGCCCGGCGAAAGCCGGAUUAAUACCGCAUACGAUCUGUGGAUGAAAGCGGGGGAUCCUUCGGGACCUCGCGCUACAGGGGCGGCCGAUGGCAGAUUAGCUAGUUGGUGGGGUAAAGGCCUACCAAGGCGACGAUCUGUAGCUGGUCUGAGAGGACGACCAGCCACACUGGGACUGAGACACGGCCCAGACUCCUACGGGAGGCAGCAGUGGGGAAUUUUGGACAAUGGGGGCAACCCUGAUCCAGCAAUGCCGCGUGUGUGAAGAAGGCCUUCGGGUUGUAAAGCACUUUUGUCCGGAAAGAAAACUUCGUCCCUAAUAUGGAUGGAGGAUGACGGUACCGGAAGAAUAAGCACCGGCUAACUACGUGCCAGCAGCCGCGGUAAUACG
rnacentral:rRNA from 1 species